rnacentral:rRNA from 1 species
UGAGGAAUUUUCCGCAAUGGGCGAAAGCCUGACGGAGCGAUGCCGCGUGAGGGAAGAAUGCCUUCGGGUAGUAAACCUUUGUUGUUAGGGAAGAAGGGUUGCCCCUUAAUAGGGGGUAUAUCUUGACGGUACCUGACGAGGAAGCCCCGGCUAACUACGUGCCAGCAGCCGCGGUAAUACGUAGGGGGCAAGCGUUGUUCGGAAUUACUGGGCGUAAAGGGUGUGCAGGCGGUUAAAUAAGUUAGAUGUGAAAGCUAGGGGCUUAACCUCUAAAUUGCAUCUAAAACUGUAUAACUAGAGUAUGGUAGGGAAGAGCGGAAUUCCUGGUGUAGCAGUGAAAUGCGCAGAUAUCAGGAGGAACACCGGAGGCGAAGGCGGCUCUUUGGGCCAAUACUGACGCUGAUACACGAAAGCGUGGGGAGCAAACAGGAUUAGAUACCCUGGUAGUCCACGCUGUAAACGAUGAGAACUAGGCGUAGGGGGGACUGAAUCCUUCUGUGCCGAAGCUAACGCAUUAAGUUCUCCGCCUGGGGAGUACGGUCGCAAGAUUAAAACUCAAAGGAAUUGACGG